UCCCUCUGUCACGGUUGUUUCUCCAGGUCUGGUGGUAGUUGUGGUAACCACAGACUGUUGGGGGGUUGGUCCUUUGGAUUCGGUAAUUGUUGUAAAAUGUGGUCCAGUGAAUGGAGGUUUCCCCACAAUGGAGGUUGAGGUGGUUGUUGGCCCAGCGGUGACUCUGGGUGUUGUUUCACUCUUGACUGUGGUUCCCUCUGUCACGGUUGUUUCUCCAGGUCUGGUGGUAGUUGUGGUAACCACAGACUGUUGGGAGGUUGGUCCUUUGGAUUCGGUAAUUGUUGUAAAAUCUGGUCCAGUGAAUGGAGGUUUCCCCACAAUGGUGGUUGAGGUGGUUGUUGGACCAGUGGUGAAUCCAGGUCUCGUUGUCUCACCUCGUCCAGUUGUUUUCUCACUCUUAGUUGUUUUUCUGCGUCGAACAAUAAUUUUGCGAUGGGUUGGUUUUGGAACAUUGAUAGUCGUGGUACUAAAAUAGGGUUGGGAUGUUGCGCCUGUGUAUUGUGUCGCAGUUGUUUCACCAACAGCUGUCGGAGACGUGGUUGCUGGCCCAGCGGUGACUCUGGGUAUUGUUUCACUCUUGACUGUGGUUCCCUCUGUCACGGUUGUUUCUCCAGGUCUGGUGGUAGUUGUGGUAACCACCGACUGUUGGGAGGUUGGUCCUUUGGAUUCGGUAAUUGUUGUAAAAUGUGGUCCAGUGAAUGGAGGUUUCCCCACAAUGGAGGUUGAGGUGGUUGUUGGCCCAGCGGUGACUCUGGGUGUUGUUUCACUCUUGACUGUGGUUCCCUCUGUCACGGUUGUUUCUCCAGGUCUGGUGGUAGUUGUGGUAACCACAGACUGAUGGGAGGUUGGUCCUUUGGAUUCGGUAAUUGUUGUAAAAUGUGGUCCAGUGAAUGGAGGUUUCCCCA